AUAAACGCUGGCGGCGUGCCUAACACAUGCAAGUCGAACGUCCUGUGUUUUCGGACACAGGGAGUGGCGGACGGGUGAGGAACACGUGGGUACCUACCCUUUGGUGAGGAAUACCAGCGAGAAAUCGCUGACAAGACCGCAUACGCUCGGUCUCUGAUCGAGCAAAGCCCUGCUUUUUGUAGGGUGCCAGAGGAUGGGCCUGCGCCCGAUUAGCUAGCUGGUGGGGUAAAAGCUCACCAGGGCGACGAUCGGUAGCUGGUCUGAGAGGACGAUCAGCCACACUGGGAUUGAGAACGGCCCAGACUCCUACGGGGGGCAGCAGUGAGGAAUUUUCCGCAAUGGGCGAAAGCCUGACGGAGCAACGCCGCGUGCAGGAAGACGGCCUUCGGGUUGUAAACUGCUUUUCUUGGGGAAGAGGAAGGACGGUACCCAAGGAAGAAGCCCCGGCUAACUACGUGCCAGCAGCCGCGGUAAUACGUAGGGGGCGAGCGUUGUCCGGAGUUACUGGGCGUAAAGCGUCCGCAGGCGGUUGGUCAAGUUUCUUCUGACAGUGCCCGGCUUAACUGGGCAAGGCGAAGGAAAACUGGCCAACUUGAGGGCUUCAGAGGGACACGGAAUUCCGGGUGGAGUGGUGAAAUGCGUAGAGAUCCGGAGGAACACCAAAGGCGAAGGCAGUGUCCUGGGGAGUACCUGACGCUCAGGGACGAAAGCUAGGGGAGCCAACGGGAUUAGAUACCCCGGUAGUCCUAGCCGUAAACGAUGACCACCAGGUAUGCGGGGUAUCGACCCCCUGCGUGCCGUCACUUACGUCUUAAGUGGUUCCGCCUGAGGAGUACGGUCGCAAGAUUAAAACUCAAAGGAAUUGACGGGGACCCGCACGAGCAGCGGAGCGUGUGGUUUAAUUCGAUGCAACGCGAAGCACCUUACCAGAGCUUGACAUGCACUUGCACCAUCCGUUAUGGGAUGUUCCGCAAGGACGAGUGCACAGGUGCUGCAUGGCUGUCGUCAGCUCGUGUCGUGAGAUGUUGGGUUAAGUCCCGCAACGAGCGCAACCCCUGCCACUAGUUGGAUAUUCUCUAGUGGGACUGCCGCGAUCAACGUGGAGGAAGGUGGGGAUGACGUCAAGUCAGCACGGCCCUGACGCUCUGGGCGACACACACGCUACAAUGGCCGGGACAAAGAGUUGCCAACCCGCGAGGGGGAGCUAAUCUCGUCAAACCCGGUCUCAGUUCAGAUUGCAGGCUGCAACCCGCCUGCAUGAAGUUGGAGUUGCUAGUAACCGUGAGUCAGCACAUCGCGGUGAAUACGUUCCCGGGUCUUGUACACACCGCCCGUCACACCACGAAAGUCGGCAACAUCUGAAGCCGCCAGGCUAACCCUCUUGGGAGGCAGGCGUCGAGGGUGGGGUCGGUGAUUGGGGUG
rnacentral:rRNA from 1 species